rnacentral:rRNA from 1 species
UACGUAGGCAGCAAGCGUUGUUCGGAAUUACUGGGCGUAAAGAGUGUGUAGGCGGUGCUCUAAGUUCGGUGUGAAAUCUCCCGGCUCAACUGGGAGGGUGCGCCGAAUACUGAAUGACUUCGAGUGCGGGAGAGGAAAGUGGAAUUCCUGGUGUAGCGGUGAAAUGCGUAGAUAUCAGGAGGAACACCGGUGGUGUAGACGGCUUUCUGGACCGUAGCUGACGCUGAGACACGAAAGCGUGGGUAGCAAACAGG